ACCAACAUGACACAGAAACAGCCCCGUCAGGGCCCGGACGGAAGGGCGGCCGUCGGGGACGAGGCCCCUCGGGCGCCCCUCUGCAGGUGGCCCAGGGCAAGAGGCCCUCAUCCCCACAGGGGGGCCCCCUAUUGUUUUGUUCUGCGGAUUGUGAAAUAAAUAGGCACGUGGCCACAGUGGGCUCAGUAAGAGGCACGGAGAGACACACGGACGCACGCGUGUAUGUGUGAAUGCGCAUUUUCUUUUCUCUUUCUGCUCUAACUGGAAAGGACACCAUCACCUUCCACGGUCGUCCCACAGCCAGGGCUGGACAAGACGAGAGAUUCUCAUGAUGCGCCACGUUUGGAAGCAGCCACCCAGGGAGGGAAGCCCGAGAGCGGAACCCGAGCUCCUUCCAUGGACUGGAAAGCUAGCUUCAUGGAGCGAGCUGUUUUCACUUCCAGCCUGAAGAAACAAAGAGAGAUGGAAGAAAAUGUGGUACUUGGAUGAAGUUCAAAAUCAUAUAAUUCUAGAGUUUGAAUAUACCAUAGGGAUCAUCGAGUCAAAAGCACUCACUUAAUGGGUGAGGAGACUGACGACCAGGUGAAUGUGACAUGACAUCAUUAAAACACAAAACAAAAGAAAAUCUCCUGAUUGGAAUUAAAAACAA